rnacentral:misc_RNA from 1 species
UUUCCGUAGGUGAACCUGCGGAAGGAUCAUUAUUGUAUGACCCCGGGGCGCGGGCUGUAGCUGACCCGAACAGACGUGCACCCCCGAGUGUCUUCCAACUCAUCCAUCUCACCCCCCUGUCCACCGCCGCCUGGCUCCCCCCUUGGCGUGCUUGGAGGGGGGCUUACGCUUUCACUCUCACUUUGUAUGCAGUGCAGAAUGUUUUUUUAGUCUUUGCGAAACCGCACUCAAUACAACUUCAAACAACGGAACUCCUGCCUCUCGCAACGACGAAGAACG